rnacentral:misc_RNA from 1 species
GAAGAUGGAGGAGGCAAUAUUGUUGAAAUGUUAUUGUUGUCCUUGUUACUCCCAUCAUAAUUUGGUACCUGAAUUAGGUCAGUAAUAGUCUUGAAAUCAGAUGAAAAUCCCAAAUUGAGAUCUUGGCUUCCUUCAAGGAUAAUCUUACUAGGGUUUUGAUCAUGAGGUCGAUUUCCAAAAUGCCUUUCUGGAUAUUCCUCGAUGUUGUCAGGUUGUGGUGGAGGGACAACCAAAUCAGGAAGUUUUUUAUUAUUUACUAUAACAUGAUGAUUAUAAGGAGAUGAAGAUUUCUUGUUUUUUC